rnacentral:rRNA from 1 species
CCUACGGGAGGCAGCAGUGGGGAAUAUUGCACAAUGGGGGCAACCCUGAUGCAGCGACGCCGCGUGAAUGAAGAAGUCCUUCGUUAUGUAAAGCUCUAUCAGCAGGGAAGAAAAUGACGGUACCUGAGUAAGAAUCCCCGGCUAACUACGUGCCAGCAGCCGCGGUAAUACGGAGGAGGCAAGCGUUAUCCGGAUUUACUGGGUGUAAAGGGAGCGUAGACGGCAGUGCAAGUCUGGAGUGAAAGGCGGGGGCUCAACCCCCGGACUGCACUGGAAACUGUAAGUCUGGAGUGCAGGAGAGGUAAGUGGAAUUCGUGGUGUAGCGGUGAAAUGCGUAGAUAUUAGGAGGAACACCAGUGGCGAAGGCGGCUUACUGGACUGUAACUGACGUUGAGGCUCGAAAGCGUGGGGAGCAAACAGGAUUAGAUACCCGGGUAGUC